GAGGCUUGUUUUCUAGCGCCUCUGGUGGGCCGCCUCCCGCAGGCCUGGUGUGAGCCUGGGGUCCGUUCUCACAGCUGGAUCUGGGGUCUGAAUGCCGCGCCCUCUGGAGAGCCACAGAUGGGUCUCCGCUGAUGCUUCUCUCAAUUUCCUCUAAGAGCGAGAGCUCCGGGAAAGGAGCCGAUCCUGGUGGAAGACUACAGGUCUGAGUCCACUGGACGAAAAACGAGGCUCUCCUCUUGGGGAAAUAAAACAAUCCUGCCAACCAAAGACCCCUCUGGAUCCUCAAACACGCCAUCAGCAUGGAAGGCCGCUAUGGCAUAGCGAGAGAUAAAUAGGAUUCAGGCAGUGCUGUCCUUACAUCGCAAUCAUUCAGGCUCCUUGGAUUAGAGACCAUCCUGAGGACAUCCUUGGGAGCCAUGUGCUGAAGAUGGCCAAGCCACAGGAUGAAAGGAGCUGCAUCUUUGAGUCACCACUGGAGAAAGGUCUCUCUAAAUGGAUUUGCAGAGACGUCUUCUCGAAUACUCCCCUUCUAAGUUCCACUUGUAAUCCACUUCUUCUAUUCUCCCAGCAAUCAAUGUGGUUUGGGGAAAUUCCAGAAUCUCAUAAUACCUUGGUCAUGGGUAAAUAAGGAAAGGACCUUUACAUACAUGUGAUGCAAAGCAGAUCAAAACAAGCAGAGCAGCCUAAGAGCAGCAAGACCCCAAAGGAUAAGGGAAGUCCUGCAGAAGAGCAGAGCGGUGCUGCAAAGGCAGGCAGGUAAGGUAAGCAGACAGGGCCAUCAGGAUGGAUCCUUUGGGCAUGCCAGCAUCCACCAGGGACUGGUAGAGCUAUUUAGAGAAACUGAUAAAAAGCUCUGCCAACUACAGUCACAAAAGAUGGAGCUCAGAAUGAUGAGUAGAUGCCUAAAACAUCUCCAUUUUGUUGAUGAAGAAAGUAAAGUUUAUAGAGCUUAGAUUAUUUGCUUUUGUACCUAGCACAGUACUUAGUUUAUAGUAGAUGCACAAUAAGUAUUUGUUUAAUGAGUGAAUGAGUCACUAGCCUAAGACCUUUAAUAUAACAUGCUUAAACCUGCUACCAGGGAUUGGGAACUCACCUAUUUAGUAGUGAGUAGAGGGGUGUGGUACUGGUACUUAAGACAGAUGCAUUGUGGUUGGGUAUGGUGUGUUUUUGUUUUUGUUUUGAGACAGGUUCUCCCUCUGUUGCCCAGGCUGAGAUGCAGUGGCAUUAUCAUGGCUCACUGCAGCCUUAACCUCCCGGGGCUCAAGCGAUCCUCCCACCUCAGCCUCUGAGUAGCUGGGACCACAGGUACGCAUCACCGUGCCUGGCUAAUUUUGUUUUUUGUUUGUUUGUUUUGUAGGGACGGGAUUUUGCCAUGUUGCCCAGGUUGGUCUCGAACUCCUGGGCUCAAGCUACACCCGCCCGCCUCGGCCUCCCAAAGUUGUAGGAUUAAGGUGUGAGCCACUGUGUCCAGCAGAUAUAAUGUUUUUAAAAGUUUGAGAGUUAAUAUGCUCUCUGGUGUGCCCUAGGUCCCACUACUCCUAUUGCCUUAAAACUCACGCAGUACACAUUUGUCUUCCAUGGGCUUCAGUUGUAAGAGAACCCUUUCUACUCUUUGCUGUUCACAAGUCUCCUUUUAAACAGAGCUUGUUCCCAAUGCUGUUUUGUUUUGCCCUCUGCCAUGUUCUUCCGGCCAUCACCUCCUGUGGGGAAAAGAGAGAGAGAUCACAUUGUUACUGUGUCUGUGUAGAAAGAAGUAGACAUAGGAGACUCCAUUUUGUUCUGUACUAAGAAAAAUUCUUCUGCCUUGAGAUGCUGUUAAUCUAACCCUAGCCCCAACCCUGUGCUCCCUGAGACAUAUGCUGUGUCAACUCAGGGUUAAAUGGAUUAAGGGCUGUGCAAGAUGUGCUUUGUUAAAGAAAUGCUUGAAGGCAGCAUGCUCGUUAAGAGUCAUCUCCACUCCCUAAUCUCAAGUACUCAGGGACACAAAACACUGAGGAAGGCCACAGGGACCUCUGCCUAGGAAAGCCAGGUAUUGUCCAAGGUUUCUCCCCAUGUGAUAGUCUGAAAUGUGGCCUCGUGGGAAGGGAAAGACCUGACCGUCCCCCAGCCCGACACCCGUAAAGGGUCUGUGCUGAGGAGGAUUAGUAAAAGAGGAAGGAACGCCUCUUUGCAGUUGAGACAAGAGGAAGGCAUCUGUCUCCUGCUCGUCCCUGGGCAAUGGAAUGUCUCAGUGUAAAACCCGAUUGUAUAUUCCAUCUACUGAGAUAGGGGAAAACUGCCUUAGGGCUGGAGGUGGGACAUGCUGGCAGCAAUACUGCUCUUCAAGUCAUUGAGAUGUUUAUGUGUAUGCAUAUCUAAAGCACAGCACUUAAUUCUUUACCUUGUUUAUGAUGCAGAGACCUUUGUUCACGUGUUUACCUGCUGACCUUCUCUCCACUAUUAUCCUUUGACCCUGCCACAUCCCCCUCUCCGAGAAACACCCAAUAAUGAUCAAUAAAUACUAAGGGAACUCAGAGGCCGGUGGGAUCCUCCGUAUGCUGA
ensembl:lncRNA LINC02980 long intergenic non-protein coding RNA 2980